CCACUCACCGGCUGUACACGGGGAUCUCCAGGCUCAGCUCAUCCAUGAGGAGCCUCAUCACAUCAUCGCACUUCCCAUGAAGCUUCAGGGCAGCCCAGUCAUCCUUCGGGGUCCACUGAAGACAAGAAAGGCAGGAUGCAGGAAUGGCGCGUUCUGACUGAGGCUCUUCUGCUCUAAGGCCCUCGUCUGAGAACAAGGCUCUAGGGCCACGUUACCUGCAGGUUCACGAUGUAGAGUUUGGGCCGCCGGCUUGGAGGCUUUGUCAUGCACCAGAGGCGGGGAUACUUCUUCAGGACCUGAGGGAAGGGACAGACACGUAACAGGGCUGAUGACUACGACAGCAAAUCCACUGCCCGCUAACAGCUCUGGGUGGGCGGACGAGUGACACGCUCAGUCCACAGUGAGUUCACAGUAUUGUGGGCGCGUACCUUCAAGCUGGACCCUAAACAGAGGAUUGUGUCUGCUUUGCUAGCAGCCUCCGUCGCCGCCUCCCAGUUCAGAGGCUGCCCCAAUGUCCCCCUCUCCCCAAAGUGCACAAUGGUAUCCCGCAGCUGAGUCCCACACUUGUGGCAGGUCCGGCCUGUCUGGUGUCGGUGAAGGGCAGUGCGCUCGGUCACAUCAAACACUCGCACGUACUCUCUGUUAGGGAUGCAGGAGGUGCAGACCUGAGGACGAGAGGGCGCAGUGAGCGAGCCCUGCCUGGCACCCGGGCCCCGGUCCCUCCGCAGUGCUCACUUCAAUGUACAUGUUCCCGUGCAGCUCGGAGAUGGCAGUGCGUGGGAGCCCGCUGCGCAGGUGCAGCCCGUCACAGUUCUGCGACACCACGUGCUGCACCUGGAAAACAGCAUGGUGGCACUUGAUAGGGAUGGAGCCCCCCCCCCAGCAGAGAUGACAUUCUGAGCUGGGUCUGGCCAAGGGCCAAGGUUCCCACAAUGAAGCAGGAGCAGCCAGGAGGGUAAGCAUCUGCACUGCUCCUGCGAGCUGGGUGGCAGCCUGGGCCAUUGGUAGCGCCGGGGCCAACUGCCUAGGGUCAACAACCUCCUGGGUCAUUCUCUUUUAGAGGCUGCCCCAAUGUCCCCCUCUCUGCCCCAGAGCCCAGAUCCCCUUCCCUACUGCGUCAGCAGAUCUCUGGAGGUUUCCUACAAACCUCCUCUGUAGCUAGGAUGUUGUUUACAGACCCUGAUACAAAAGAAAUCAAAUGGGAAGCUGCAGAAGAACAGCUCAGGGCUGCUCUUUCUUCUUGGAGGGAAAGAAUGCAGGGAGCAAACAGGAGUCUGAGCAAACAGUUUUCACUCUGGGGACGGCCUACCACAGGACUGACCAGAGGCGAAGCAGCUUCCCACCUGGCCACUGAGGUACAACUCUGGGCCCUUCCCAGAAUUUUGUUUUUGUUUGUUUUCUAAGACAGGGUUUCUGCUUUCUCUGUGCAGCCCUGGCUGUCCUGGAACUCACUCUAGACCAGGCUGGCCUGAGCUGAGAGAUCUGCCUGCCUGUGGCUCCCGAGUGCUAGAAUCAAAAGCCUGAGCCACCACUGCUGACUUUCUUACCAGCUUCUGCUCAUGCAGACGGGUGAUGCUCAUGUGGGUGAGAGUAGGCUCCGCCUCACUUAGGUCAGCAGCACUGCAGGAAAUGAAUGAGAGAGGAGGUGAAAGCUGUCCAGGCAGAGGCAGCUCUUGCUUGCCCAUGAGAAAGCUGAGAAAUGCUCACCUCACACUUCUUCCUUUCUGAAGCAGCGUCCACACUCCAUUGGGGCCCCGAUAAUCUGGGAUAGAAGCUGCCUGCACAGUUGGACAGAAAGAUGCCAUAUGUCCUGCAGGAUAUGCCACACAGGGCAUGCCACAUUCUAGGCUUUCCUGUCCCAUCCACGGUGACCUGCCUGACCCCCGGGGGGGCUCUUUCCCUCUAGCCAGGACUUUCUUGUCCUGUCUGAGCCGGCCCACUUCCAGACUCCACAGAACCCUGCCCUACUUCAGGAUCCUUUCCGGCAGGGAGCAGUGGUGUCCACAUCUGUCUCCAACACUGAAGGGGAACAUUGGUUAGGCUCAUCAGUGUGCAAAGGUCUUCGUGUUCAGUAAGAGGAAGCGCCUCUCGUCCCACAUAUCCUGAAGCUCUCAACAGUUUCACUCCAAAUUAACAUACACAUGAAACCUCCACAGACAAGAUAAAUUAAUUUCCCAUGACGGAGCAUCAAGGAUCCAAGAGUCUGUGGCUCCUGGCCGGGGAAGCCCUGUGUCUGCUGCUGCCUAAGCUCAGAGCAGCACCCAGGCUGACCUGUAAGUCCAACACACGAGGGAAGAGACCUUCAAACAGUGCUGAGAGCACGUUUGAAGCUGCACAUGUCCAGAUUAGUGGAGGUGUCACCACACAGCUAUGAAGGGCUGGCCCCAAACGCUUAUGUCGCAGAUGUCUGAGUCAGAGCUGCAAAUGAUCCUUAUGUUGCUACUGGGCCACUGUCUGCCAUGCUUUCCCCCCUCACUGCUGUCUGUCUGCCUUGCUUCCCCCCUCACUGUUAUCUGUCUGUCCUGCUUCCCCCCUCACUGUUGUCUGUCUGUCCGUCUUGCUCCCCCGCCUCCAGUUCCCUGCAGAGCCCUACACAGUGCCGCUCCAUCAGCAAGGCAACCCAAGGGCAUCCCAGCUCUGAGCACUGUAGUCUGACCCUUUUGGUCAGUUGUGCACUGCACAUGUCUGUUCGUGACUGGUGGCUGCUACCUUGGUAACAAAGGUCUUCUUUCGUCUCCGUGUGCCUUUGUAUUUGCAUUUGUACACAGGUGCCUGUGUAUGCGGACUCUCAUCAAUCUCCACCUCAUUUUUUCCACACACACAAGUACCUGCUGCACAAAUGAGUCAGACAACAACCGUCACUUUUCUCCUCGUAGCGUGUGGGUUCUGAGCACCAAACUCAAGUCAUAGGCUUGGAAGCACCUGCCUGUUUAUUCACUGAGCUGUCCCACUAGGCCCCUUCCCUCCACCCUCCUUGUUUUAUGACAAGGUCUCUCACUGAACCCAGAGCUCAUGGACUUGGCCACCAGGCUUCAGAAGUCUUUCUAGCUUGUCUUCCCAGUCCUGGGAUUACAGGAGUGUGCCAUGGUUUAGGUUUUUCACAUGGGUUCUGAGCGUUCAAACCCAGGUCUUCAUGCUUGCACAGCAAGCACUCUCCCAACUGAGAGCGAGCCAUCUCUGCAGACCACCUCAGGGCUUCUCGAGAACAGAUCAUCUGAUGUUCACCUCGGCUGGGCCUGCCUGUGCCAAAUACUCCACCCUCACUGUGAUUGUACAGAUAGGUCAGUCACCCGUUCAAAGCCAGUCAUCCCUCAGCCCAGGAAGUUCUUAGAGCCAACAGUCCAGCAUUUCUCACCUGUACCUGCUCACAGGCACUGUGGCUCAUACGGCUGUACAACUCUUACUGUCUUACUUCAAGCUCGGGGCCAGGUUGGCCUCAAGCCUUCUAUCUUGAUCUUCCUCCUCUACCGGGCUCUCUCUCUCUGAGUCCUGAGAUUAGAGGUUUGGACUCCACACUGGUUUUGUUUGAAAGUUCUUCAGGGACGGGACCAGGAGAAAGCCUGGUGCUCCAGUCUGUCUACACCAUGCAGCUCAAUCAACCAGUCUCCUUCAUGUUCAUGCAGAGGCAUCAGCAGGCAGGUGGCCACUAUGUCCUACCACGGUUCCAUGUUUGUCUUUAACAGACUGUCACAAGUCAGUGGUUCCAAAAGUCCUUGAUCUAGUUAAAUCAUAAUCAUCAUCAUCAUGACAGUCUCUAUGUAGCCCUGGCUGUCCUGACCUCCCUCUGUAGAGCAGGCUGGCCUUGAAUUUACAAAGACCUGCCUGUUUCCCGAGUGCUGGGAUUAAAGGCACGUGCCA